rnacentral:rRNA from 1 species
AAAAACAUGUCUUUUUGAAAAUAAUUUAAAGUCUAAUCUGCCCACUGAUAAAUUAUUAAAGGGCUGCAGUAUAUUGACUGUACAAAGGUAGCAUAAUCAAUAGUCUUUUAAUUGAAGACUUGUAUGAAAGAUUUAAUGAAAUAUAAACUGUCUCUUAAUUAUUUAUAGAACUUAAUUUUUUAGUUAAAAAGCUAAAAUAAAUUUAAAAGACGAGAAGACCCUAUAGAGUUUUAUAUUUUAAAAUUUAAAAUUUUAUAUAAAAUUUUAAAUUUUAAGUGGAAAAAUAUUUUGUUGGGGUGAUAAAAAAAUUAAAAAAACUUUUUUUAAAUUUUAACAAAAAUAAAUGAAUAAUUGAUCCAUAUGUUAUGAUUAUAAGAAAAAAUUACCUUAGGGAUAACAGCGUAAUAUUUUUUUUUAGAUCAAAUAAGAAAAAAAGUUUGCGACCUCGAUGUUGGAUUAAGAUAAAAUUUAAAUGCAAAAGUUUAAAAUUUUGAUCUGUUCGAUCAUUAAAAUCUUACAUGAUCUGA